rnacentral:rRNA from 1 species
AGAGUUUGAUCCUGGCUCAGGACGAACGCUGGCGGCGUGCCUAACACAUGCAAGUCGAACGAAGCUCCCGGACGGGCGACUUCGGUCAAACAGAAGGGAUGACUUAGUGGCGAACGGGUGAGUAACGCGUGAGGAACCUGCCUUUCAGUGGGGGACAACAGUUGGAAACGACUGCUAAUACCGCAUAAGCGCACGUUCUCGCAUGGGAAAGUGUGAAAAACUCCGGUGGUAUAAGAUGGAUCCGCGUCUGAUUAGAUAGUUGGUGAGGUAACGGCCCACCAAGUCAACGAUCAGUAGCCGGCCUGAGAGGGUGAACGGCCACAUUGGGACUGAGACACGGCCCAAACUCCUACGGGAGGCAGCAGUGGGGAAUAUUGCACAAUGGGGGAAACCCUGAUGCAGCGACGCCGCGUGAGUGAAGAAGUAUUUCGGUAUGUAAAGCUCUAUCAGCAAGGAAGAAACAAAUGACGGUACUUGACUAAGAAGCCCCGGCUAACUACGUGCCAGCAGCCGCGGUAAUACGUAGGGGGCAAGCGUUAUCCGGAAUGACUGGGCGUAAAGGGCGUGUAGGCGGCGAUUUAAGUCUGGAGUGAAAGUCCCGUUUUCAAGAUGGGAAUUGCUUUGGAGACUGGAUUGCUUGAGUGCAGAAGAGGUAAGCGGAAUUCCCGGUGUAGCGGUGAAAUGCGUAGAGAUCGGGAGGAACACCAGUGGCGAAGGCGGCUUACUGGGCUGUAACUGACGCUGAGGCGCGAAAGCGUGGGGAGCGAACAGGAUUAGAUACCCUGGUAGUCCACGCGGUAAACGAUGAAUGCUAGGUGUUGCAGGUAUCGACCCCUGCAGUGCCGGAGUAAACACAAUAAGCAUUCCGCCUGGGGAGUACGGCCGCAAGGUUGAAACUCAAAGGAAUUGACGGGGGCCCGCACAAGCAGCGGAGCAUGUUGUUUAAUUCGAAGCAACGCGAAGAACCUUACCAGGUCUUGACAUCGAGGAAAACUUCCAGAGAUGGAAGGAGGCUUUGGCCAUCCGAAGACAGGUGGUGCAUGGUUGUCGUCAGCUCGUGUCGUGAGAUGUUGGGUUAAGUCCCGCAACGAGCGCAACCCUUAUGGUCAGUUACUAACGCGUAGCGGUGAGGACUCUGACAAGACUGCCGGGGACAACUCGGAGGAAGGUGGGGACGACGUCAAAUCAUCAUGCCCCUUAUGACCUGGGCUACAAACGUGCUACAAUGGUGACAACAAAGAGGAGCGAGACCGUAAGGUGGAGCGGAUCUCAAAAAAGUCAUCCCAGUUCGGAUUGUGGGCUGCAACCCGCCCACAUGAAGUUGGAGUUGCUAGUAAUCGCGGAUCAGCAUGCCGCGGUGAAUACGUUCCCGGGCCUUGUACACACCGCCCGUCACACCAUGGGAGUUGGGAGCACCCGAAGUCAGUGAGAUAACCGCGAGGAGUCAGCUGCCGAAGGUGAGACCGAUGACUGGGGUGAAGUCGUAACAAGGUAACC